UACGGAGGGUGCAAGCGUUAUCCGGAUUCACUGGGUUUAAAGGGAGCGUAGGUGGGCUGGUAAGUCAGUGGUGAAAUCCCCCGAGCUUAACUUGGGAACUGCCAUUGAUACUAUCAGUCUUGAAUACUGUGGAGGCUAGCGGAAUAUGUCAUGUAGCGGUGAAAUGCUUAGAUAUGACAUAGAACACCAAUUGCGAAGGCAGCUCACUACACGAAUAUUGACACUGAGGCACGAAAGCGUGGGUAGCAAACAGG
rnacentral:rRNA from 1 species